GACGGAGGAUGCAAGCGUUAUCCGGAAUUAUUGGGCGUAAAGCGUCCGCAGGUGGCUUAUCAAGUCUGCUGUCAAAGCCCGGGGCUCAACCCUGGAGAGGCAGUGGAAACUGGUAAGCUCGAGUGCGGUAGGGGCAGAGGGAAUUCCCGGUGUAGCGGUGAAAUGCGUAGAUAUCGGGAAGAACACCAGUGGCGAAGGCGCUCUGCUGGACCGCAACUGACACUCAUGGACGAAAGCUAGGGGAGCGAAUGGG
rnacentral:rRNA from 1 species